rnacentral:sRNA from 1 species
AAAGGAAGAAGAUCAGUGAGGCUAGGCAAGGUCCCUAACAGCUCCCAGGGAAGGAGCCUAAUGCUGUUCGGCUGGUGUGUACUAAAUGCUGGGCCUGGACCUGAACAUAGAGCUGCACGGGGGCUGGAAAUGUCACUGUGCGAGUGCAUAGAUAUUCAUACGUGUGCAUAGAUAUUUCCCUUCUGUGUUUUUGUCUACAUGAUACUUUGCAAUACAUUGAGCAGUUCCUAUUCCUCCCCUUCACACAUCAGUAAUCAGACUGGGUCCAGUAUUACCCAUCAAAGGCACCCUGGCUGGCUAGCCUCCGUCUGUGCAGCCCUGCUGGUUGAGGCAGACCCCCCCUGAUCCAAAAGGACAGGAGUUGAGAAUAACCAGACUCACUGGGCUACAGGCUCUGAAACACGCCUGCCAACCUUGGCCUCAGCCUGACGGACAUGUUCGUUCAGGAAACCCUAGCCCUGCUCUGUCCUUGAAGGCUUUGCUCCUGGCUUUGCAAAGUGCUGAGCUGGUACCUUUCACUUCUCGCUUUACUGCCAUUGUCUCUGCUAUCCCCUCCUGGCACCCAUGCCCUGACCCCCUCCUCAGUCACUGUUGUUCCAGGAGCCAGCAAGCAAGAGCCUGUGCCUUAUUGAAGGGCAAAGACCUGGAAGAGACAGAUUGAAGCUGAGGAUCAGUGACGCAUCCCACCCCUCCUCUUCUGUCAGAUUCCUCUCUACUCAGCCUGGGUCUACUUGACAUGCUGCCAUGAUACAUCCACGCAGAGCACCGGCACACGGGUCCAUACACCUCCAGCCAGCAGGAGUCCUCUUGGCAUAUCCCAGGAGCACAAGAAGAGAGCACUCAUGAGAUCUGAGUCCACAGAAGGAACGUGUCAGGCCAGCACGUCCGCUCUCCUUCUUGCCAGGACUCCGCCCCUAGGCGUUCAAUUCCGAGCAACGGGAACCAUGACUCAGCGAAAACAGACCUCGGGACCGUGACUCAGCAUCACGCAGCCCCGGACCUUGACUCAGCAGAAAAGGCUCGACUUCGGCUUCCUGGUGGAUUGCUUUUUACCAGAGCAACUGUUCUUUUUUAACAAUUGUUAAUUAAACCCUGGCCUCACACGUGCUAGGCACAUACGCCGCCAUCCAGCCGCACUGACAGCCCCAGACUUUAUUAAUUAGGCUUCCUGGCCGGAAAUAAAAGCAACGACAACAAAUGGAGCUUUGCAAGAAGCGGGACUUUAACCCCAGCACUCAGAAGGAAGAGGGACCUAGGUUCGAGUCCCAGCACACUCAUGUCAGUUUAACAACACUCUGUAACUCCAGUUCUUGGAGAUCUAAUAUCCUCUUUUAGCCUCCUUGGAAAUCAGGACUAUGUGGUGUACACAGACAUACAUGUAAGUAAAACCCCGAACACCUAAGAUAAACAAUUAAAAGAAAAGACUUCCUUAGGGUCUUUCUCUGGAUUUGGGGAAGAUCUAAUGUUUGUAUCCACUAUGAUAACACUAAGUCUGCUUUGGGGCACAAUGAGGAAGGGAGGGCUCAGAGUUUUUGUGGGGCUUAUUAGUCCUUCAAUUCAAAACA